rnacentral:lncRNA from 1 species
CUCGGGGAUUUCCAUGACCCAAAAGCAUGACUUUUAACCGUGGCCUAUCUGCGCGGCAUUUACUGAAAGACAUUUGCUUCAUUGCUCGUGGGCCAGAGGAAAUCUUGAUAACAACCCAUACAGAGAGGACGGUCAUUGCUCAGCCUGCCUGGAAAAGAUCAAAGACAGUUACCAACCAGAGGCAGAGCCCAUAAAGAUUAUUUGGUCCUUCAUCAUUCUGUGGAAACAGCAUCCAGUGCAUUCUGCACACAAUGGACUGAGCUGAGGCAUCUUCUGGUUUAGGUGGACUUGGCUGUCCAUAGCAACUGAAGUUCCAGUUGGAAUUAUUUCAGAAAGACUAAGUGUAUUUAUCAUAUGGAGACUUUAAUCCACAUUUGAGUCUGCUUCAAUCAAGACUUUCUAAGCCAUUUUCAACUCACUCCUGAGAUUAUGGAAAAUAAUUUGUGGGCCUUACACAUUUUUGAUUAUGUACUCACCAGAAGAAUUUCAAAAAGCUCUGCAUUCCCUUGCCCAUUUUUAACUUAACAUUAAAACAUAAAGCUGUUGUACAUGUCAGUAAUCUACAAAAUGUAAACAUAGAUAUUUUUGGAAAAAAUUGAUAGAACACUCUUUUUUUUUUUUUUUUUGAGACGGAGUCUGGCUCUGUCACCCAGGCUGGAGUGCAGUGGCGCGAUCUCGGCUCACUGCAAGCUCCGCCUCCCGGGUUUACGCCAUUCUCCUGCCUCAGCCUCCCGAGUAGCUGGGACUACAGGCGCCCGCCACCUCGCCCGGCUAGUUUUUUGUAUUUUUUAGUAGAGACGGGGUUUCACCGUGUUAGCCAGGAUGGUCUCGAUCUCCUGACCUCGUGAUCCGCCCGUCUCGGCCUCCCAAAGUGCUGGGAUUACAGGCUUGAGCCACCGCGCCCGGCCUAGAACACUCUUUUAAAUGUAUUUGAUGGAUCCUAAUACCAUAGUAAUUUGACAUACAUGAUCAUCCAUGAAGCAAUUAUCAAGUCAUCUUUAAUAAUUAAAAAUAUUUUAUCAUUGCCUUUUGUCAUUGAACAUUCCAAUUCCCCUACAGAAUGUUAAUACAUGUUUACACUGAACAUCUUUUAUGAUCUCUCUGUCACAUAUCUCUGAAACAAAUACAUAUUAUAAAUUGAAAUCCAUUUUUUUCUCUGGGAUCAUAAGGAUCUAAAUGUUAAAAAAAAAAAAAAAUUCUCUUUGGCCAGGCAUGGUGGCUCACGCCUGUAAUACCAGCACUUUGGGAGGCAAAGGUGGGUGGAUCAUCUAAGGUCAGGAGUUCAAGACCAGCCUGGCCAACAUGGUGAAACCCAUCUCUCCCAAAAAUACAAAAAUGAGCCAGGUGUGGUGGUGCACACCUGUAGUCCCAGCUACUUGGGAGGGUGAGGCAUAAGAAUCACUUGAACAGGGGAGGCAGUGGUUGCAGUGAGUCAAGAUAGUGCCACUGCACUCCAGCCUGGGACAGAGCGAGACUUCAUCUCAGAAAAAAAGAAAGAAAAAUCCUCUUUGAUUACAUUAUCAUUGAUAUUGUUUUCAUUACUUUUAAAACGUAAUUGGUCAAGACAAUAUAAAAAUAUUGUAAAUGUUGGCCGGCCGCGGUGGCUUAAGCCUGUAAUCCCAGCACUUUGGGAGGCCGAGAUGGACGGAUCACAAGGUCAGGAGAUCAAGACCAUCCUGGCUAACACGGUGAAACCCCGUCUCUAUUAAAAAACAUACAAAAAACUAGCCGGGUGAGGUGGCGGGCGCCUUAGUCCCAGCUACUCAGGAGGCUGAGGCAGGAGAAUGGCAUAAACCCGGGAGGCGGAGUUUGCAGUGAGCUGGGAUCCGGCCACUGCACUCCAGCCUGGGCGACAGAGCGAGACUCCGUCUCAAAAAAAAAAAAAAAAAUAUAUAUAUAUAUAUAGUAAGUGUUAAUAACUAUUACAAACACAAUUUAAGGGGGUUGCAGCUUGUAUUUUAAGCAAGUGUUUCAAGUGUGCAGUCAUGAAUAUUACCUAUAGCUAUAAUAUGUUAGGGUUCAGCACAGAUUCUGUUCCUUUUUUUCAUUUCUACAGAUUAUAAAUGCUGUAAACCCUAUUUCACAGAAAUAAGUAGAUAAGUAGAUAGGCCCAGAAGAAACAUUAUUAUGACAAUUUUUUCACAAUUUAAAAAAUAUGUUUUAUAUUUCAAAAGUCAUUUAGUGAUCUCUAGUCGAAAUAUGUAAUUACUUAUCAGUAGACAACUCAAUUUUGUUGAAAUUGGUGGUUUAGAAACCACUGAACUUUUGGUACCCAGGUAGGGUUGACAGAGUUAGCAAAUUAAAACAGAGAACACCUAGUUAAAUUUUUAUUUAAUAUAAAUAAUGAAUGCAUUUCUAGUAUAUGAAUGUAUUGUGCAAUAUUUGGUACCUAUCUAUACUAAUAAAUUAUUCAUUAGUUAUCUGAAAUUUAGAUUCAAUUUGGUGUUCUGUAUUUUACCUGGCAACCCUAUACCCAGAUAUUAGAGUUAUUCAUUUUCUCAACACUCAUGCCGAUCAAUUAUUUCAAAUCAUCCAGGAGGCUUCGACACCCAGAGAAAUAUACCAUUUUAAAACUCAUGGUAGGUGAGAGGUAAGCCUGUCUUUUAAGAGAAGACAGAGAACCAUUGUGAAAAGGGAGAUGAGAAGACAAAACAACCCUGGCAAACUUCACAAUUCUUGUUUUCAAGUAGAUCAGUUUUAGGAGAAACUACAUAUGAAAGUUGAGAGUCAGGCUAUUAAUUCCUUAAAACUAUUUGAGCUCCCACCUCCCUGUUGGUAAGUCUUUGUAAAAACCCAGGGGCACACUUACCCCAAUUUAAAGACUAUGGCUGGCCAGGCACAUUGGCUCACACCUGUAAUCCCAGCACUUUAGGAGGCCAAGGUGUGUGGAUCACCGGAGGUCAGGAGUUCGAGACCAGCCUGGUCAACAUGGCGAAAACUCGUCUCUACUAAAAGUACAAAGAUUAGCGGGGCAUGGUUGCGGGUGCCUGUAAUCGCAGCUACUUGAGAGGCUGAGGUAGGAGAAUUGCUUGAACCCGGGAAGCAGAGAUUACAGUGAGCUGAGAUCUCGCUACUGCAUUCCAGCCUGGGAGACAGAGCAAGACUCCAUUGCCAAAAAAGUAAAUAAAUAAAAACAAAUAAAGACCAUGGC